GUCAGGGUGGUCGAGCGGUCUGAGACACCAGACUCAACAGUAAUCUGGGUGUUCUGGUCCACGAAUGUGGGCGUGGGUUCAAAUCCCACCUCUGACA
rnacentral:tRNA from 1 species